GUUGUCGUGAGGCCGGAGAUGGGCUCGCGGCCGCAGCAGGAGCAGAACGAGCUGGGCCUGGACACGAGGCCGGGAGGCCGCAACUGGGCCUGGAGAGGCCGGAGCUGAGGAGGCUGGGCCUGGAGAGGCCGCCGAAAGGCAAAGGCUGGGCCUGGAGAGGCCGCUCCCCGUGACGAAUGAGUUGGGCCUAAUGAGGCCACUGGGAGCCAGGAGGAGAGCAUGGCGGAGCUGCCGAAAGGCAAGAGGAGCUCUGACCUGGGGAGGCCGCAGUCAGGCGAGAGCUGGGCGUGGACAGUCCACUGUGGGCAGAGGCUGGGCCCGUGCAGGCCUUCGCGAGGCAGGAGGCUGGGCCUGGCGAGGCCGACCGGAGGUCAAGUCCUGGGCCUGAGGAGGUCACCCAGAGGCGUGAUCGGGGCUGGGCCUCCAGAGGCCAGUGGCAGGCCGGAGGAGCUGGGCCUGGAGAGGCUGACCUGAGGAAGUCUGGCAGCUGGAGAGGGCGGG